GCCGGCGGCCGCUGCGCAUCGGUGCUUUGACAUCGAGCUAGGAACCGCGUUUCAUCUCGCCGAAAUAUUAAUUUUCACCGGCGCGAUGCCAAUGCCGCGGCCCCCUUGGAAAUCGGCCGCUGCCUAACGAGGAACCGAAUGACUAAACGCGCCGGAGAAACGAGCACGGGCCAGUGCUAUACAGAUGCGAGGAAGCGCUCCACUCUCUUUCUGGAUCCGAGUAAAAUUAGCAAUCCAGAUGAACAUGACGGACUGGCAUUAAAGGAUUAAGUACGUGACACGGUUUCCGUGACGGUUGCGCGCAGAACGGUAUAAGUUAUCGUGGGAACUUUGCUUUCGGGAAUAACGGACGCGUUCGACCUGCACCGCGCGUCGGACGUGCGGAGGCAAUUUCCGGCCCGAGGUACGAAUUAUGAACUUGUAAAUAUGCGUGGUUGAAACGAGGCGAAGGCUGCUGCUGGCUCGUCGUUACUAUCAGCGGCCCGCUACGACGCACCACCCGUUCUUUUUUCACGCUGAAAUCUGGCAAAGGCCAAUUUGUCGAGAUCAUAUACAGCCGCUCGUAAAAUAGAGCACUCCUGCCAUCGGGAGUUGCCCGGAAUACCAAUGAGAUGCAGGCCGCCGCCGGAUGCCGUCAGCAACUUCAUGGGAACCGAGCAGCGGCAGGCUCCCGCUCGGCCGAGGAACGAUGUGCUAGGAGCGCAGCGACGCGAUUGACACACACUCGCGCAAACCGGAGCUCGGGGAAUCGACAAGAUCGGAUCGGUCUCGACUCUGCCGGCCGGUCCUUUAUAAAUCCAAAGCCGCAGCUGGCAAUUUCAAACCGCCUCCUCUCCGAUGCGCUUCCUGUAGGCGGGAAUGGGAGAUGAACUGUUGAAUCGUAAUCGAAUCGAAUACCUGCAUUGUUUCAGAUACGGCUAAGGUACCCCGUUGUUGCGCGAGCUGUACGAUAACCCUGUUUCAAUUGCUCUGUACUUUGAACCGUCAUGUAUUCCGCGAUGUUAUCCGUUUCGAGAGAGCACGAGUUCAAGCCACGUAGUAAUAAGUUAAUGGAAUAUCGCAAUAGAGUAUGAACUAAAAGGAUGCUUUAGUUACAUUUCAUUUUCCGCUAUAUUUUCACCUUUGAUAGAAAAAGAAAUUAUAAGACUUUUAAUUUGUAUAUAGGGGAGAGUUGCCGAAUGCGUACCACUUAAGGUAUUAUUUAUUAUACUGUCACUUGGUACCAAUUUGUACGCAUACAAUCGUUGGAAAUUGUAGUUUCACGUUUCAUUUACAUGUUUAACGUUUCCCUAAUAACAAAUUAAUUUGUUGUAAAGUCCUUUUGUAACAUGUUGCAAAAGGUAUAAUUUAAGAAACCGGUUGCAAAACCUCCUUGAAAUAGUCAAAUUUAUGAGUGAAAAUAAUAAAAAGUAGAGUAAAUAGCAUAAGAUUGAUAUAAGAAAGUAUUAACUAAUACUUAUUUUAUUAAUAACUUAUCUAAAAAAAGGGCAAAUAUUUAAUCAUUUGAAAGUAAUAAUUAACAAUAAUGGAAAGGACGUUAAAAUACACUUAGCUUAAAGUUAAUUUUGCAAUAUAUAUUUAUAUUUAUAUUAAUUGUAUUACUCUUAUACAAUAGAUAUCGUUUAUUGUUUAUAAAAUCGCGCCGGUACGAGAUAGAAAAUCUUAUGGUAGUCGAUUUAGGAAACUUGAUGGAUUUUGUGAAAAUAUUUAUUUAAUUCUUAUAAUAGUUGUAAAUAUGUAUAUACAACAAAUGUAAAAUA